rnacentral:rRNA from 1 species
CCAAUAGCGUAUAUUAAAGUUGUUGCAGUUAAAAAGCUCGUAGUUGAACCUUAGGCCCGUGCGGGCGGUCCGUCCUCGUGGCGAGCACUGUCCGUUGCGGGUCUCACCUUCUGGCGAGCGUAGAUGCCAUUUAUUUGGUGUCUGCGGGAACCAGGACCUUUACCUUGAAAAAAUUCGAGUGCUCAAAGCGGGCUCCGACGCUUGAAUACAUUAGCAUGGAAUAAUGAAAUAGGACGAUGGUUCUAUUUUGUUGGUUUCCGGGACCGUCGUAAUGAUUAAUAGGGAUAGUUGGGGGCAUUCGUAUUCAAUUGUCAGAGGUGAAAUUCUUGGAUUUAUUGAAGACGAACUACUGCGAAAGCAUUUGCCAAGGAUGUUUUCAUUAAUCAAGAACGAAAGUUGGGGGAUCGAAGACGAUCAGAUACCGUCGUAGUCUCAACCAUAAACUAUGCCGACUGGGAAUCGGGCGAUGUUACUUUUACGACUCGCUCGGCGCCCCGAG